GAUCCAUUUCUAAGCUUCUUCCUU
rnacentral:snRNA from 1 species